AGUGUUUUGCUACUUCCAUUAUGCGCUAAAUAUACCACAGGUCAAUAUAGUCUACCAGUCUAACUGUCUAUUCUGCCUUCUAUCCACCAUUCAUAGUGAAAAUAGUGGUAGGUGGUCGUUUGUCCAGAUCGGCAAUGGGCUAACUAGCAAUCAUACCACAACUAAAAUCAUUAAAAGCUGCAAUUAAAAAUCCACGAGAACAACGAGAAAUAGCUGAUAGGCAGCGAAGUGACCAGGUACGUCAUUGCGCAUGAAAGAACAUUGAAGACGUGAGACACGCAACUCAAAAAGCUCCCCCAUUGAUCUUGUUUAGGGACAAUUAAAUAUCUCGACUAGUCUACAACAAUGCCGGGGUCAGCGAAGCUCCCAAGUGACCAGCGACAGGGCCAACAGCCAACUGACUGCCUACUCUACUCUGACCUCCCUUCAUUAGUAACCCCUGGGCUUCUCCUCAGACCUGGUGCUGCUGGGGGGACCUAUUUGUGGUCCUCCACUCAUCUGAGGGGAAGGGGAUAGAGGGAUAGAGACUGAAGGAACAACAGCUGCUGAUGGGGACCUCACGCUUCCCAUGGAAGAGCAGCAUCCUCCUGAGAGAAGGUGCUGUAAUCUGCAGUAAUCGAAUUCUCAGACAUACAUGAUAGCCACAGUAUGUCUCGAAGCCACAUUGUAUGUGAGUGAACACAUGACAUUGAACAUAUUGACACAUGACGUUGUGUGAUCUGUAUUGUAUUUACAAAAACAAUCAACAGUGCAAGUCGCAUGAUGAUCUUACACGGAAAGCUCUUGAAAACUUUCACAGACACACAAAAACAUAGAGAUAUUAAAACCGUUAUACAAGCAGUGUUAAAUGGACAAAGUGUAAUUAAAUGUAUUUUGUGUUAAGAGAAUCUGCUGGGGUGCCAGAGGAAUGCAAAGAAUUGUAGGCACUUUUUUCUGACACGGUAUAGUGAUGCCAUCAUGAGUUGCAAUGGGAAACAUUUACACACAGCAAAGAGCCCAGUGGGUUCACUAGUAGCAAUACAAGGUGACAUCAUCUGUCUGAUAAACA